rnacentral:rRNA from 1 species
UACAGAGGUGGCAAGCGUUGUUCGGAAUUACUGGGCGUAAAGGGCGCGUAGGCGGCCCGUCAAGUCCCGUGUGAAAGCCCCCGGCUCAACCGGGGAACGGCGCGGGAAACUAGCAGGCUUGAGUUCGGGAGAGGGAAGCGGAAUUCCGGGCGUAGCGGUGAAAUGCGCAGAUAUCCGGAGGAACACCGGUGGCGAAGGCGGCUUCCUGGACCGACACUGACGCUGAGGCGCGAAAGCGUGGGGAGCAAACAGG